ACCCGCUGAAUUUAAGCAUAUCACUAAGCGGAGGAAAAGAAACUAACCAGGAUUCCCCUAGUAACGGCGAGUGAAGAGGGAAGAGCCCAGCAUCGAAGCCUGCGGCAGGUUUGCUGUUAGGCAAUGUGGUGUUUGGGUCGGCUCGUGGGACCACCACUCCACUCGAAGUCCAGCAUUGAGUAUGGUUACUGGAUUUGGCCCAGAGAGGGUGAAAGGCCCGUACGAGUGGAGUAUCAGACAUGUGAGUUGUGGUUCACCAGGUCGACCUUAGAGUCGGGUUGUUUGGGAAUGCAACCCAAAGUGGGUGGUAAACUCCAUCCAAGGCUAAAUACUAGCACGAGUCCGAUAGCGAACAAGUACCGUGAGGGAAAGUUGAAAAGUACUCUGAAGAGAGAGUAAACAGUACGUGAAACCGCAUGCAGGUAAACGGGUGGCGUUAAGCUGCAAGCCCGGAGAAUUCAGUCGGCUAGGGUGUUGUGUAUGCGCCUGGCGCAUCUAUCAGUCGGAGUAGUACGAUUGGGUAGUCCACUGGGAAACAGUGGGCCUGGCCGCAAGGUCAGGAUAUGUGUACCGGGUGGGUGCCGGAGCAUGCUAUCCGUCUGGGGACUGUCUAGCCGGUGCACUUUCUCUGUGGUCAACACCACGACCGGUGGUACUGCCAGUCUACUAGGUCCAAGUCGCGUCUGCUAGGUCCCCGUGGCCAAACGGGCGCGAUCACGCGCAAACUCAGUAAACGGCGUGAAGGUGUCUCGGCACUUUUGCGUGUUAUCGGCUACUGGUUGUGAACGGGCCUGCUGGGUGUUUGUUGUAACCGGCACCUCAGUGGCUCGGUGGGGCGUAGUGGUAGGAAUAACUGUGCAGGGCACCGGAGUCGUCGGCCUCAAUUGCGUCCCGCGUCCACGUUACAAGUGUUAGUGUAUAACGGCUGUGUCGUCGCUGCCUGCCCGGUGCUGGGUCUGAUUGGCGUGUUGCCUGCGCAAAGUAGGCCCGUCGGUGGCUCGGUUCGGGAUGGGUGGUUGGUGGCGUUGUCGGUGGCGUGGGGCGUUGUGGGCCCAAUAGUCAGUGGUGUAGUGGUAGGCGAGCUACCCGACCCGUCUUGAAACACGGACCAAGGAGUUUAACAUGUAUGCGAGUCAAUGGGUCCUACGAAACCCGAGGGCGUAGUGAAAGUGAGGCUUCGACUUGUCUCGGAGUGAGGUGAGAUCCCGCCGUUUCUCGCACCAGUCUAAUGCCAGCAUCAGGCUAAGAGCGGCGGGCGCAUCACCGGCCCGUCCCAUGAUGUGGUCAUUGGAUGUCCGCGGCUGUUGUUGCUCGUCCUCCUCUUUCUCUUUUCAUCCUCCCUGCUUUAGGGUGGGGUAAGGGGCGGGAGGAAGGGGGUGUGGGUGACGUUGGUCGUGGUGCCAGUGCGUCAUCGGGGCGGUGCAUGAGCAUACACGUUGAGACCCGAAAGAUGGUGAACUAUGCUUGCGUAGGUUGAAGCCAGAGGAAACUCUGGUGGAGGACCGCAGCGAUUCUGACGUGCAAAUCGAUCGUCAAACGUGAGCAUAGGGGCGAAAGACUAAUCGAACCAUCUAGUAGCUGGUUCCCUCCGAAGUUUCCCUCAGGAUAGC
rnacentral:rRNA from 1 species